ACCGAAAUAGCUUAGUUGAGAGAGUGUUAGACUAUAGAUCAAAAAGUCCCUGGUUCGAUCCUGGGUUCCAGCA
rnacentral:tRNA from 1 species